AAUAAGCGGAGGAAAAGAAACUAACAAGGAUUCCCCUAGUAACUGCGAGUGAAGCGGGAAAAGCUCAAAUUUAAAAUCUGGCAGUCUUUGGCUGUCCGAGUUGUAAUCUAGAGAAGUGUUAUCCGCGCUGGACCGUGUACAAGUCUCCUGGAAUGGAGCGUCGUAGAGGGUGAGAAUCCCGUCUUUGACACGGACUCCCAGGGCUUCUGUGAUGCGCUCUCAAAGAGUCGAGUUGUUUGGGAAUGCAGCUCAAAAUGGGUGGUAAAUUCCAUCUAAAGCUAAAUAUUGGCGAGAGACCGAUAGCGAACAAGUACCGUGAGGGAAAGAUGAAAAGAACUUUGGAAAGAGAGUUAAACAGUACGUGAAAUUGCUGAAAGGGAAACGCUUGAAGUCAGUCGCGUUGUCCAGGGAUCAACCUUGCUUUUGCUUGGUGCACUUUCUGGUUGACGGGUCAGCAUCAAUUUUGACUAUUGGAAAAAGAUUGAGGGAAUGUGGCAUCUUAGGAUGUGUUAUAGCCCUUGGUUGCAUACAAUGGUUGGGAUUGAGGAACUCAGCACGCCGCAAGGCCGGGUUUUUAACCACGUACGUGCUUAGGAUGCUGGCAUAAUGGCUUUAAUCGACCCGUCUUGAAACACGGACCAAGGAGUCUAACAUGCCUGCGAGUGUUUGGGUGGAAAACCCGAGCGCGUAAUGAAAGUGAAAGUUGAGAUCCCUGUCGUGGGGAGCAUCGACGCCCGGACCAGAUCUUUUGUGACGGUUCCGCGGUAGAGCAUGUAUGUUGGGACCCGAAAGAUGGUGAACUAUGCCUGAAUAGGGUGAAGCCAGAGGAAACUCUGGUGGAGGCUCGUAGCGAUUCUGACGUGCAAAUCGAUCGUCAAAUUUGGGUAUAGGGGCCGAAAGACU
rnacentral:rRNA from 1 species